AUUGAACGCUGGCGGCAGGCUUAACACAUGCCAGUCGAACGAGUGGCGGACGGGUGAGUAAUGCUUGGGCUUCUACCUUAUGGAGGGGGAUAACUACUGGAAACUGUAGCUAAUAUCGCGUACCAUAGGAUGUGCCCAAGUGGGAUUAGGUAGUUGGUGAGGUAAUGCCUCACCAUGCCGACGAUCGCUAGCUGGUCUGAGAGGAUGACCGGCCACCCUGGGACUGAGACACGGCCCAGACUCCUACGGGCGGCAGCAGUGGGGAAUAUUGCACAAUGGGCGCAAGCCUGAUGCAGCCAUGCCGCGUGUAUGAAGAAGGCCUUCGGGUUGUAAAGUACUUUCAGUCGGUAGGCGUUACCGACAGAAGAAGCAACGGCUAAAGACGUGCCAGCAGCCGCGGUAAUAC
rnacentral:rRNA from 1 species